rnacentral:rRNA from 1 species
GACGAACGCUGGCGGCGUGCCUAACACAUGCAAGUCGAGCGAAUGAAGUUCCUUCGGGAAUGGAUUUAGCGGCGGACGGGUGAGUAACACGUGGGCAACCUGCCCCAUAGAGGGGAAUAGCCUUCCGAAAGGGAGAUUAAUACCGCAUAAGAUUGUAGUACCGCAUGAUACAGCAAUUAAAGGAGCAAUCCGCUAUGAGAUGGGCCCGCGGCGCAUUAGCUAGUUGGUGAGGUAACGGCUCACCAAGGCGACGAUGCGUAGCCGACCUGAGAGGGUGAUCGGCCACAUUGGGACUGAGACACGGCCCAGACUCCUACGGGAGGCAGCAGUGGGGAAUAUUGCACAAUGGGGGGAACCCUGAUGCAGCAACGCCGCGUGAGUGAUGACGGCCUUCGGGUUGUAAAGCUCUGUCUUCAGGGACGAUAAUGACGGUACCUGAGGAGGAAGCCACGGCUAACUACGUGCCAGCAGCCGCAGUAAGAC